rnacentral:rRNA from 1 species
UACGUAGGGUGCAAGCGUUGUCCGGAAUUAUUGGGCGUAAAGAGCUCGUAGGCGGUCUGUCACGUCUGCUGUGAAAACUCGGGGCUUAACCCCGGGCCUGCAGUGGGUACGGGCAGACUAGAGUGCGGUAGGGGAGACUGGAAUUCCUGGUGUAGCGGUGAAAUGCGCAGAUUUCAGGAGGAACACCGGUGGCGAAGGCGGGUCUCUGGGCCGUAACUGACGCUGAGGAGCGAAAGCGUGGGGAGCGAACAGG